rnacentral:lncRNA from 1 species
CCUUACCAAACGUAGGAUUAUAAUUCUACUUAAGCCAAUCCAAGCUAGUCCCACUUAAGGAGGUGUAACAAACGCCCCUUUAAAGGACUCAAAACAGCUUAAAACAACUAAAUAGACUCUACUAGACACUAGGAAUGACUUUGGAUGAAAAUUGAUUUUAACUUGACUCAAAACACUUAAAAACACAAACUAAGACAGAUUCUAACUAAUUUGACACACUAACGUAAAAGGGAUUGGUUUUUGGACAAAAUUAAAGUGAAUUAAAGACUUAAACAAAGUUGGACGAAUUUGGUGAAUUAAAUGGAUGAUGGGCUAGCUAGAGGGUCAUUCUCCACACAUGACACACUUGCAUACAAAUCAAUCACUAGUUACUUUUUCGAUAAACCAUGAAUGACAAUGCCCCAGAUUAACCAUGCCAUCACUAAUUAACCCUCAGAUUUUCCUUAAGUCAUUGAAUUGGAUGGGAUACGCAUCAUCAACCCAAAUCAUUCUUCAGUAGUCCCCUACAUGCAUAUUAUAAUAGAAAUACAAUCAAAGAUCAUUAAGCUCUAUGAAAAUCAUAAGCAUUGACAAAACAUUUGUAACUAUGACAUCAUGAUACUCAUGUUAGGAAUUUAACUUAAAGCGAUCGUGACCAGUGACCUUCACUACUUGUGAAUAUAAGUUUGUAACGAUUAUGUGAAACUCCCUUAUAUUCUAGCAUCAGAUUCAAGUAUACAAACUAAGUAGGCCUCCUUAAUCAACAUUCAAGAAUAAGUUUUGAAUAAAGCAGUUAAGCAAAUUGCGUUCACACUUUAUGAAAUCACAACUAGAAUUAGUCAAUUCAUACAGCUAAUAUGAUCAUGGUUUCAAAAUUCCCCCUAGCUAUAAGGGGUUUAGGUCCUCAUGUUCACAAAACAAAGAUAAUUAAACUUAAACAUUGAAAACAAAGAAUGAAAACACCUAAAAACGCUCCAACAAUCCAAUCUUGAAUGGAAAGCGCGUCCAAAGGUCAUCCUUCUUCUUCUUUGCUGCGGCACAAGGUGUAGGAUGAUGGAUGAGUGGUGAAUUGUGGUGGUGGAUGGAUGUAGGUGAGUUAUGGUGAAGGAUGGAUUGAUGGGAUCUUUUUGCGGCAAAGAAAGAGAUUUUAUAUUUAUAGGGUGAAUGGACAUGGCUUGGUUUAAGAAAGAAUUAAAACUUAGCUAUUAUAGUUCCACAAUAAAAAAGGAUAAGUAACAAUCUGAAAUUAAUAGGAAAUAGGAAAGGGAUGUGCGGCAGAGAAAGGGAAAGAAAAGGGAAGGUUAUCCCUUGUGCGGCAAGGAAAAGGAAAGGGAAAAGGGAGGUGCGGCAUCCCUCUUUGACUAGGAUUAAUCUUCCAAAAUCUUGUAAUUAAAUGUCCUACUAUCUUUAGGAAGCCUCCUUGUGGCUGGGACCUUGGUAGAUUAGGAUUGGGAUUUGACUAAGUCAAAAUAAGGUAGUUUGACUAGUCAAUCCUUUUUAUUGCUGGAUUCCUUGUCCUCCUUUGUCUUGAAUUUAUUUUCUUCUUUUCUUUGGCACAUUCCUUUGGUCUUCAAUUUCGUCCAACCACUUUGCUCUAAGCAUAUGCUAUCCAUUCCAUGCCCAAAACUGCUCCAAAAGGCACCAAAAUGCACUUUCUUGCCACUUUAGCUCUUUAGACCUGAAAACACAUGAAAAUAGCUUAAAAGACUAAAAUAACUAGGAACUAACAACAAAAAUGCACGAAAACAAGCUAACUAAGUCGCAUAAAUAUGCUCCUAUCAAAUUGGACAUAUUGAUUGGCUAGCCGCUUAUGUACUCGAAUCGACUACUAGGUGCAGCCACCUACCUAGCAACGUCCCAUACUUUUUUGGACAACAACAUCCGUUAGAUUAUUUUAUCCUUCCAACCAUGUUUGCAACGCGUAUAUGCAAUCUAGUCACGUUUGCUAGAUCAAAGAAAACGUCUGGUAACACUAUGAUGUUCUAAAAUAGGGAUCGAGAUGAGACAUAGUGGGGACGUCCAUGAUAAUUCUUUUGGAAUGUUGACGUUCUUAUCUCCCACUAACGGUGGGAAGACUUUCUCAUUGAAGUGAUAAUUUGCUUAGCUAUGCAGUAAAAAGAUCGUGUGCAAGGGCUUAGGAGAACCAUAAUCGACAUUGAUUCACAUGCUUUUUGUGAGCACCAAUAAUGGUACAUUGCAGUGGCGCAAUUUGCACAUAAAGUGUACACCUAAAACACGCAAGUACGAAACUUCAAAAUUGUACCUAGUUGCCAACAGUAAAGCUAAAAAUAGGAUUAGGUGGCAUGGGCCUCAGGCGGACGAACAUAACUAACAUAGCCCUAUGCAGAAAACCAAAAGCUUGGUGAGCUCAUUACUAAGUGUCCGUACGAUCAUAUAAAGGCGUUUAAUGAUCGCUUUCUACGAGACUGUUUGAGUGUGAUCAUAGGGAAUCGAUCUGUUCAACUUAUGCACCCAAGGGAAAAUGUAAUAAUCAUCGGAUUGAUCGAUGUGAAGUUUUCGACAUUAUCUAGACUUCUAGACUCUGUAGAUAAUUAGGGUGGUGAGUCCGCAACCUAAUAAUUGGUGCUAAGAGUCUAGCGAAGCAGUAUUGGAUAUGCAAACAUAUGACCAAUGUGUCGAUAAGUCAACCAAAACCAUAAAUAUUUUACUAGUCCGCAUUUUGGUUGGAUUAGUCCACAAUUAAUCUCUUGAAUCCAUUAUAGAAAGGAUGGAGGAUCCGUGAAGAUGUUAUAGUAUAUAGCCGAGUAAUUGGCUUGCCUAUUAAUGAUCUUAGUAAUUGGGUCAUAGUUUGCCCAAUGAAGUUUGGUGAGCAUGCUUGGCAAGGUACUCUUUUAGGUACGAUGUCCUUACUUUUAGUAAGGGGAUGCCCUAUACGGUGCAUCACGGAUCAUCCUGGGAUGUCCCAGACGUUCAUGCCAUAACGAAAAUUCCUUUGGAAUCCCAGAUUUAUGGCUGGCCACAUAGUGGGCGAGAAUAGUUGUAAUUCAUUCAGUAGACGUUCCAUCUUCUCUAGAAUACACUUUUGGUUAUAUUCCUAGGAGGUACUAAGGAAUUUUACUCCAUUUUCUACAUUGGUUAUAAUAUGGUAAUAGUUUUCUCAAAUAUCUUUAAAGUGCAAAAGCAUUCUUCUGGAAUAUAGUGAGUAUAAGGCUUUCCUUAUGGUGAAAAAAAUAUUAGUAUCAUUGAACAAUAUGGUAUGGGUAAUGCCAUGCCCCCACAAUCAGUUUGGAUAAGCGUGAAAAGGUUGUCAAAGGUGAUUAGGUAUGAAGUUAACACGUAUAACCAGGCAUCUAACAUCCCCACAAAAUAUACCUAAGCAUGAGUUAAUUGGAUUCGUCACAAGUAUUAACUUCAUCAAUUAAAUCAUAUUUGAGAAUAAUGUUAUCCAAACACCAAACUUAAAUUCAGGAACAUAGAAAUAGUUCACAAAUUAAACCAAAUCUACUAGGGGGUUCGGCCAAUGUGGGAUUUUAUGUCAAAAUUUCGCUCUUCCAAACGUGUUAGGUGGAACAAAAUUAGUCUCACUAAUUAUGUGAAAUCUCGUUCUUGGAUUUCACUAUUGCAAACUACGUAUGUGUAUUAAGGAGUUAUUAUAUUAUUUUUGGAAUUUAUAUUAAUUGUAAAGUGUUGAGAUUGUGUAUUCAAAAGAUAUCAAGGUGAAAAAGCUACAAUUAAAAGUUGCCUCUAAUUAAUUAAGGAGGAAAGGUGGGAGAGAAAAAAAAAUUAGAGACUGUCGAAUGGCAGCAAAAAAAAUGAGGGAAAGUUUCAAGAAGAAAAAGGAGGGGAGAUGGUGGCGAAUCGGGAGAGGAGAGAGGAAGAAAAAUG